CCUACGGGAGGCAGCAGUGAGGAAUAUUGGUCAAUGGGCGGAAGCCUGAACCAGCCAAGUCGCGUGAGGGAUUAAGGCCCUGCGGGUCGCAAACCUCUUUUGCCGGGGAGCAGUGGUCCGGACGCGUCCGGACUGGGAGAGUACCCGGAGAAAAAGCAUCGGCUAACUCCGUGCCAGCAGCCGCGGUAAUACGGGGGAUGCGAGCGUUAUCCGGAUUUAUUGGGUUUAAAGGGUGCGUGGGCGGGCAUUUAAGCCGGCGGUCAAAUGUCGGGGCUCAACCCCGGCCUGCCGUCGGAACUGGGGGCCUUGAGUGGGCGAGAAGUAUGCGGAAUGCGUGGUGUAGCGGUGAAAUGCAUAGAUAUCACGCAGAACCCCGAUUGCGAAGGCAGCAUACCGGCGCCCGACUGACGCUGAGGCACGAAAGUGCGGGUAUCGAACAGGAUUAGAUACCCUUGUAGUC
rnacentral:rRNA from 1 species